rnacentral:rRNA from 1 species
GAUGAACGCUGGCGGCGUGCCUAAUACAUGCAAGUCGAGCGACGCGGGGACGGGUGCGUAACACGUGGAUAACCUCCUAUAAGACUGGGAUAACUUCGGGAAACCGGAGCUAAACCGGAUACUUCUAUCUGGAUCCGCGCUGCAUUCGCUAGGUGGUACGGUAACGGCUUACCAAGGCAACGAUGCAUAGCCGACCUGCGAGUGGGAGCGGCGACACUGGAACUGAGAAACGGUCCAGACUCCGACGGGAGGCAGCAGGAGGGAAUCUGCCGCAAUGGGGGAAAGGCUGACGGAGCAACUACGCGUGAGGGAUGACGGCCUUCGGGUUGUAAAGCUCUGUUAAACGGGACGCGGUACCGGAAUAGAAAGCCACGGCUAACUACGUGCCAGCAGCCGCGGGAAUUC